AGUGAACGCUGGCGGCAGGCCUAACACAUGCAAGUCGAGCGGCAGCGGGUCCUUCGGGAUGCCGGCGAGCGGCGGACGGGUGAGGAAUGCGUCGGAAUCUGCCUUUUUGUGGGGGAUAACGUAGGGAAACUUACGCUAAUACCGCAUACGACCUACGGGUGAAAGUGGGGGACCGCAAGGCCUCACGCAGAAAGAUGAGCCGACGUCGGAUUAGCUAGUUGGCGGGGUAAAGGCCCACCAAGGCGACGAUCCGUAGCUGGUCUGAGAGGAUGAUCAGCCACACUGGAACUGAGACACGGUCCAGACUCCUACGGGAGGCAGCAGUGGGGAAUAUUGGACAAUGGGCGCAAGCCUGAUCCAGCCAUGCCGCGUGUGUGAAGAAGGCCUUCGGGUUGUAAAGCACUUUUGUCCGGAAAGAAAUCCCGUCGGCUAAUACCCGGCGGGGAUGACGGUACCGGAAGAAUAAGCACCGGCUAACUUCGUG
rnacentral:rRNA from 1 species